rnacentral:lncRNA from 1 species
UUCGCCUGGAGUGUCCCAUCUUAACCUUGGAUUCUUAUGCAAAAUACAGAUAUUCAAGCAUGAAGUAUAGAUGUUUCUGUACGCGUUCAAGUAGUUAAUUCACAUAUGGUUAUCUUCCGCCCAAUAGCUACACGUUCGAGGGAAUGACAGUUGGAGCACUGCUCAUAUUUUUGGGUCUCCUUGGACCGUCGAUGGGAUACAAACCUGAAGGAACACGUCUUCAUCAAUGCUACGACAAGGAGAGAGGAGUGAUGCCGUCUGGGUACAACGAGACAACGAUCACUGAAAUAGAGACGGAAUGCAUUUACUGGUGCAAAUCACGUGCUAAUGAUGGAAUUUGGUAUUAUGGACACAUAACUGAUGGCGCAGAGUGUAAAAAACGCAAAAGGCAGGGACGAUGCAGACAGGGCUAUUGCAUUACCGGUGAACAUUCGAGCACCACACCUGAUGAUGCCGGCACUCAUGAACUCACAA